GGAGAUGUGGCUCAGUGGUAGAGCACUUGCCCUAGAAUGUUAGAGGUCUUAGGUUUAAACCCCAGAAUCACCA
rnacentral:tRNA from 1 species